GCAUCCGUGGCGGAACUGGUAUACGCAACUGGUUUAAGCCCAGCUGCCGUAAGGAUUGGGGGUUCGAAUCCCUCCGGAUGCA
rnacentral:tRNA from 1 species